rnacentral:piRNA from 1 species
CAGCACAGAAACUACCUUGACAGACUUG